rnacentral:rRNA from 1 species
AAGCCAGACUCCUACGGGAGGCAGCAGUGGGGAAUAUUGCACAAUGGGGGAAACCCUGAUGCAGCGACGCCGCGUGAGUGAAGAAGUAUUUCGGUAUGUAAAGCUCUAUCAGCAGGGAAGAAAAUGACGGUACCCGACCAAGAAGCCCCGGCUAACUACGUGCCAGCAGCCGCGGUAAUACGUAGGGGGCAAGCGUUAUCCGGAUUCACUGGGUGUAAAGGGAGCGUAGACGGCGAGACAAGUCUGGAGUGAAAGGCCGGGGCCCAACCCCGGGACUGCUCUGGAAACUGCCUGGCUGGAGUACAGGAGAGGUAAGUGGAAUUCCUAGUGUAGCGGUGAAAUGCAUAGAUAUCACGCAGAACCCCGAUUGCGAAGGCAGCAUACCGGUGCACAACUGACGCUCAGGCACGAAAGCGUGGGUAUCGAACAGGAUUAGAUACCCCUGUA